rnacentral:rRNA from 1 species
UACGAAGGGGGCGAGCGUUGUUCGGAAUUACUGGGCGUAAAGGGCGCGCAGGCGGUCCUUCAAGUCAGAUGUGAAAGCCCCGGGCUCAACCUGGGAACUGCAUUUGAGACUGGAGGACUUGAGGACGGGAGAGGAGAGUGGAAUUCCCAGUGUAGAGGUGAAAUUCGUAGAUAUUGGGAAGAACACCUGUGGCGAAAGCGGCUCACUGGACCAUUACUGACACUGAGGCACGAAAGCUAGGGGAGCAAACGGG